UCCACGUCAUUGGAUUUCUGCCA
rnacentral:siRNA from 1 species